UACGGAGGAUGCAAGCGUUAUCCGGAAUGAUUGGGCGUAAAGCGUCCGCAGGUGGUUUUGUAAGUCUGCUGUCAAAGCGUCAUGCUCAACAUGAUACAGGCAGUGGAAACUACGAGACUAGAGUGCGUUAGGGGUGAAGGGAAUUCCUGGUGUAGCGGUGAAAUGCGUAGAGAUCAGGAAGAACACCGGUGGCGAAGGCGCUUCACUAUGCCGCAACUGACGCUGAGGGACGAAAGCUAGGGGAGCGAAAGGG
rnacentral:rRNA from 1 species